rnacentral:rRNA from 1 species
CCCGCCGGACCCCACUGCUAUCGGGAUAGGACUAAGACAUGCUAGUCAUGCGCUUUCUAGCUAAUGUGAGAGCGCGGCGUACAGCUCAGUAACACGUGGCUAACCUGCCCUUGGGACGGGAAUAUCCCCGGGAAACUGGGCUAAUUCCAGAUAGGUGAAGAAUUCUGGAAUGAAUUUUCGCCAAAAGGACAUUUAUGUCAUGCUCAUAGAUGUUGCCCAGGGAUGGGGCCGCGUCCGAUCAGGUAGUUGGUGAGGUAAUGGCUCACCAAGCCUUUUACCGGUGCGGGCCGUGAGAGCGGGAGCCCGGAGAUGGGCACUGAGACAAGGGCCCAGGCCCUACGGGGCGCAGCAGUCGCGAAAACUUUGCAAUACACGAAAGUGUGACAAGGGCUAUCCCGAGUGCCAUCCGCUGAGGAAGGCUUUUACCCAGUAUAAAUAGCUGGGAGAAUAAGGAGAGGGCAAGUCUGGUGUCAGCCGCCGCGGUAAUACCAGCUCUCCGAGUAGUGUGGAUGUUUAUUGGGCCUAAAGCAUCCGUAGCUUGCUAUGCAAGUCCCUUGUUAAAUCCACCGAUUUAAUCGUUGGAUUGCGGGGGAUACUGUUUGGCUAGGGGACGGGAGAGGCCGACGGUAUUUCCGGGGUAGGGGUGAAAUCCUAUAAUCCCGGGAAGACCACCAGUGGCGAAGGCUGUCGGCUAGAACGCGCCCGACGGUGAGGGAUGAAAGCUGGGGGAGCGAACCGGAUUAGAUACCCGGGUAGUCCCAGCUGUAAACGAUGCAGGCUAGGUGUUUGGGCGGCCACGAGCCGCUCUAGUGCCGCAGGGAAGCUGUUAAGCCUGCCGCCUGGGGAGUACGGCCGCAAGGCUGAAACUUAAAGGAAUUGGCGGGGGAGCACCACAA